CAGGUGCUCCAGCCCUCUAAUCAUCUUUGCAGCCUCCUCUAUAACUGCUCCACCUCUUUCUUGUGCUGGGAGUCUGUGGGGUUACUGUUAGGUCAUGGCCUGAACCAGUGAUUAAGCACCUGGUGAAUGGGCAUAGCCAGCCCAGGGAGCACAGGUGGAAGCAAUUCCCUGGGUCCUCCCUAACCUCAUUUAAGGGCUGGCUGCUGCAAGGGAAGCAUUUUUACUUGGAGAUCACCUCCUUUAAAACAUCUGGUGAGCUCCGAUCCUUGGAAAGGGGAGGUACUAGAAGAAACAUCUUUUCUCUGAUUUUGAAUGUCCAUCUCAAAAGUGAUGAUUCACUUUGAUCAUUUAAAUGCAAGUAACAGUGUAAUUGCCACAUUGGAUCAGAUCAAAUGACAAUGGGUGAUGCCUCUGACAGAAAAGCAAGAAAAGUAGCCUAGCUCCUUACAGAAGAAUAAUCAAGCACUUUAUUGAAGUCGACAAAGGUGCUGCAAGCUUGACUAUUUUUUAAAUCUUCUUUCAGAUGUCUCCCUGGUAUAGCCUGGUAACUGUGACACUCCUGUAUGAUAUGAGAAUUUGGAUCCAAAGUCAUACAAGCUUCGGAUACCAAAGAGUUCUCCUUUAAGGCUAUUGUGGAAAAGGUCACUAGAAUUACUCUUUGAAAGUAAUGUAAGAGGUGGUUCUGUGAUAUAAACACAUUUUUGUCAAGUUUUGUAAGAACAAGAGUGGGGAAUACUGGCUGACUCAAUUCCUCAAUUCUGAAUUGUUAUUUUGUUUCUUCUGGGAGAAUGGAGGAAGCUUUUGACAUCCCACCUACUCAAAAAUGGUCCUAUGUAAGUAUCCCAUAAUUAAAAACAAAAAAAACCAAAGAAACAAACAAAAAGACUGUGUUUUCUGAGGUGCUCCUGAGUCUUCUCACUCUCAUAUGAGAUUGCGUUAUUUAACCCAGUGUAACCCAAUGCUUAUUUUAAACCUUCUUUAUUUUCCACAUUUGGAUUCAGUGUUAAUUACAUUAAGAAUGUAAUUAACCCCAUUCUGAGACCAGCAAAAGUUUAGGCAUCUCCUUUUACAUAUCUGUUCAACCACAUGUGCCUUUGUUUGUUUUCCUAUAUUGUCAUCUGAACCUUGGAAGGUCUGCACUGUGGGUUCCUUCUACGUACAUAUCUAUUCACAUAAUAAGCUUUCAAACUCUGUAAAUACUUUGGGAAACGUCAGCUAUAGGGAGAACAGAAUGGUAAGAAAGUAGAUCUUUAAGAAGGUGAUGAGUUGCCUGAUCACUGCAAUCUCUUAUGAACUUAUCUGAAUUACACAGAUAAAAUUGUUGAAAGAUUCUCAAAAGCUCAAUAUCAUACCAAAAACUGUUGUUAGCUAAACCAUCAUAAAAAAUCAAAAAACCUUUGAAAAUGUCACAGAGAUGUAUUAUUCAAUAUAUAAAUAGAUGCCUUGUGCCUUUUUCUCUUCUAUAGGCCUCCAUGUAAUUACAUGUACCAUGAUGCAGUGUAGGAUGAGAGUCCCACAUAUCUAUCAGGAGAGGGUUUGACAUGUGGUCUCUGAAGAGAGAGUUAUGACAUUAGUCACCUAAAUGGGUGCUUCUGUGAGGCAUAAUUAAACUGAUCAGUAAGUCAACUAAGUUUAGGACUGAACUUUUGGAGGCCUGAUUUUUUUUUUUUUUAAUUUUUUUUUUCCCUGAAAAGCUGAUUUCCAGCUAGCCCGGAAAGGUUAUUUUCUGCAUCAUUUUUCAUCAAAAACAAAAGUGCCUGGUGUUGCAUUAGAAGUUAAGAAUUCCUAGAAGCAAUGUGAAUGCAUUUUUCAUCCGUAUAUCCUCAAAAGAUGGGGAACUUCUGGUAUAAAACUUACAGCUACUUUCUAAAACAGAAGUCAGGGCACCUGAGUAUGAAAAUCAGAAUAGCAUUUGUCUCAAACUUUGCUAGUUGCCAGAGAUGUAAUUUACUGAAGGGCUGACAAGGGCGAGAGUUGAAUUAACUGAAAUUUCGAGUCUUCCUGAUAACUUCUGCAUUGCUGCUCACCACUGCUGCAAAGCUCUGAUGUCCCCAGAGGAAAGUCAUAGUCUAGCGGACCUUAGACAGGAGACAGUCCUGAACGCACAUAGGAUGCUUUCUCAGAAUGGGUUUUAUUUUUCUAGGCACUGAAAAAAAAAAAAAAAACAUAACCCAGUGGAUUCCAACAAAAUAAAAUAGAAAAUGUUAAAACAAAUUAACAUAAUUUUUUUUAAUCAUGAUUUGUUCUAAAGAAAAGGUGUGGAAAGUACUUAUCUCUGACAGAAUGAAAAAAAUAUGCCAAAAUAAGGAAGUUGAAACAGAAGAAGAUAAUGAGCCCAAAGGAGGUAAGAAUAUACAGACAUUGAGAGGGGGGGAAAAAAAAAAGAAAAAAAUCCACAGCACAUUUGGAAGUCCUUUCAGAACAGAUGUUUUACAGCUAUUCUGCAAGUCUUGACUGAGGAACUUGAAUCUCAGCUGCUGGUCGCUGAAAUGGUAGGUUUAGUUUUACAAAAGUCAAGCAACAUUCAUACUAUUUAUUUGACUCAGGACUAAUGAAAAAACUCCUAAUAUAUUAAUUAUUAUAGAGCCUCACACUAUGAAACUUCACAUAGAGUUAAUUAUUAUCUUGUCAAUGAGUGGUGUAAUGAUAAACAAAGUGUAUAAAUUUGCUUGCUGGUGCAUUUGAGGAGCUACGUAUUCAUUAUAGGGCUCAAAUUAGAAGUGAAUAACCUCUGUUUUCCCACAGUUCUUAUCCAUGUUGUUAACAUUAGUGAUUGUCUUGCACUGUGAAUGUGAAUAAUUGCAAGCUGUUCAGUAACAGAUAUUAGCUGUGGUUCUGUCCCGUUUUGUGCUGAGUAGUGCCACUGUUGUCUCUCAUUUCUGCACACAGAGAAUACAUUUUUCUCUUUGCCUAAAUUUUUGCCUAAAACAUGAGGAGUGGAGUCUUCACAACUUUAUGACCUCAUUUUAUAUUCAUCACAGGAGAAUGUUCAGAGUUAAGUAAAAUAGCAGGCUGAAUGUAGAAAUGGCUUCUUUUCAAUAGCUGUGGGCCUGCUGCUUUAAUUAAUCUUUUUAGCUUCCAAGAACUGGUUUGUAAACACAGCUUGGUAGAUUACAAAGUGUAAAGCCUCAGUAAUUAAAAGGUAUAACAGCACUGAGUUUCUCGACAAACAAAAGAUAAAACUGGCUUCAUAUUUGUAAACCAAGUUUUGAACACAGUGAUGGAAGAGCAGGACCACGUGGCAUAAAUGCAGACAGACAGUAAUGUGCCUACAAUUUUUUGGGUAAAGGUUAUAACAGCGAUGACUGGGAGGGAGACAGAGGUAAGAGAGAACCCCACCAGGAGUGGUGACCUGGGCUGUCAGAGGGAGAGAUGUACUGUGUAAAGGUCGGUCCCCUGAUAAUAUCUGAAUUUGGAAUGGUGGGGAUUGGAAUGGUGGGGCUUGGAUAAUUGCACAUCACAGUUCAAUGUGUCUUAGUGUAGUCCCAGACUGGAGUUACAGGCACAGCAGAAAAAUGGUAAGCAGCUAGAAACCAAGGAUAGUACAAGGUGAUGUCACUAUCAAUAAACCAUUUGAGGAAAAAUGUAUUUUCUUUAAAUAUCAUUCUAAAAACUGCCCAA